AUACGGAGGAUGCGAGCGUUAUCCGGAUUUAUUGGGUUUAAAGGGAGCGUAGGUGGGAUAUUAAGUCAGCUGUGAAAGUUUGGGGCUCAACCUUAAAAUUGCAGUUGAUACUGGUUUCCUUGAGUACGGUACAGGUGGGCGGAAUUCGUGGUGUAGCGGUGAAAUGCUUAGAUAUCACGAAGAACUACGAUCGCGAAGGCAGCUCACCGGGCCGGAACUGACACUGAUGCUCGAAAGUGCGGGUAUCAAACAGGAUUAGAUACCCUGGUAGUCCGCACAGUAAACGAUGAAUACUCGCUGUUUGCGAUACACGGUAAGCGGCCAAGCGAAAGCGUUAAGUAUUCCACCUGGGGAGUACGCCGGCAACGGUGAAACUCAAAUGAAUUGACGGGG
rnacentral:rRNA from 1 species